GCAAGUCGAACGGUAACAGAGAAUAGCUUGCUAUUUUGCUGACGAGUGGCGGACGGGUGAGUAAUGCUUGGGAAUAUGCCAAAACGUGGGGGACAACAGUUGGAAACGACUGCUAAUACCGCAUAAUGUCCUUCUUUUAUUAGGGGGACCAAAGCAGGGGACCUUCGGGCCUUGCGCGUUUUGAUUAGCCCAAGUGGGAUUAGCUAGUUGGUAAGGUAAUGGCUUACCAAGGCGACGAUCCCUAGCUGGUCUUAGAGGAUGACC
rnacentral:rRNA from 1 species